rnacentral:lncRNA from 1 species
UUCUUUUCUUCAUUCCUAUUGAUUUGUUGCCUUUAUUUACCUAUUAGAACUAUAAUAUUUAGGAGCUGUCCUUAGGGCUGGCAUGUACAUUUUGACUGUUGUCAUUGGCUACAUUUGAAUUCCCAGUCAAGAGUUUGCACUAACAUCCAUCCUUGCAUGUGUGUGUGUGAGUGUGUGUGUGAGUGUGUGUGUGAGUGUGUGUGUGUGUGUAUGGAAAAGUCCAAAUACCAAAAUUGAGAGACUAGUAUAAUGAACCUUCAGGAUUCCAUUAUCCAGUUUCAACAGUUGUCUACUCAUAACUGAUCCUGUUUUAUCUGUGCUGCAACCCCUGGAAUUAUUUUUAAUCCUAGAUAUUAUUUUAUUCAUAAGUAUUUUAGUUUACGUCUCUGAAAAAUAAAGAAUC